AGAACUGAGAUUCCCAGACACUAAAGGAUAAGAACUAGUACUUUCACUAAAUGGUGUGCUAGUCCUACUAAAACCAGAAUCGACAGCUCUAGGACUCUCAUUUGAAAACGUGCGUUGUUGUAAUGAAUGAACAGAGCACCCGGUAGUUUGAGCAGGUAUAGGUUGAACAGGUCCAACGAGGCUAUCCACCAUCCUCCCAAAUUGCAGACUUGCAAUACUAGAUGACUGAUUAGCUAUGGAUGGUGUUCCAGAUAAAAAAGGAGAUGUAGGAGAAGAUUGAGCAGAUGGAAAAGAAGAUGAGGACAUUAGUGAAUAAUUCGAUAAUCCCAUUCCAGUAAAAGCCUGUCCGCUAAAUGGAGAUCUGUGGGGUGUUGGAGGCGAAGAAAAAGAUGUGCUAUUUGGUGUACUUUUCGCUCGCAUAUUCAGUAACACAUACAAAGAAUCUAACGCAAUUGUUAUCAGUGCGUCAGAAUCAUCAACUUGGGGACCUUUACCUUCCUCAUUAAAAGGAUAAUGAUUUGAAAAGUAAAGCCACUGUAAAGUAUCACGAGGAACUCCACAAACCUUAACAAGAGGGAAAAAGAAUAGCAGGCCGAUAC